GUCGAGGGGCAGCGGGGCAGGAAGCUUGCUUUCUGCCGCCGGCGACCGGCGCACGGGUGAGUAACACGUAUGCAACCUGGCCGUGACAGAUGGAUAACCGGGAGAAAUCCCGCCUAAUACAGCAUGACGCCGGGAAGGGACAUCCCUUUCCGGCCAAAGGGGGCGACUCCGGUCACGGAUGGGCAUGCGGCGCAUUAGGUAGUUGGUGGGGCAACGGCCCACCAAGCCGACGAUGCGUAGGGGUUCUGAGAGGAAGGUCCCCCACAUUGGAACUGAGACACGGUCCAAACUCCUACGGGAGGCAGCAGUGAGGAAUAUUGGUCAAUGGCCGGAAGGCUGAACCAGCCAAGUCGCGUGAGGGAAUAAGGCCCUACGGGUCGUAAACCUCUUUUGUCAGGGAGCAAGGCCGCCCACGUGUGGACGGAAGGAGAGUACCUGGAGAAAAAGCAUCGGCUAACUCCGUGCCAGCAGCCGCGGUAAUACGGAGGAUGCGAGCGUUAUCCGGAUUUAUUGGGUUUAAAGGGUGCGUAGGCGGCCUGCCAAGUCAGCGGUAAAAUUGCGGGGCUCAACCCCGUACAGCCGUUGAAACUGCCGGGCUCGAGUGGGCGAGAAGUAUGCGGAAUGCGUGGUGUAGCGGUGAAAUGCAUAGAUAUCACGCAGAACCCCGAUUGCGAAGGCAGCAUACCGGCGCCCUACUGACGCUGAGGCACGAAAGUGCGGGGAUCAAACAGGAUUAGAUACCCUGGUAGUCCGCACAGUAAACGAUGAAUGCUAGCUGUCCGGGGGGAUUGACCCCUGGGUGGCACAGCGAAAGCGUUAAGCAUUCCACCUGGGGAGUACGCCGGCAACGGUGAAACUCAAAGGAAUUGACGGGGGCCC
rnacentral:rRNA from 1 species